GAUGAACGCUGGCGGCGUGCUUAACACAUGCAAGUCGAACGGUGAACGAGGGAGCUUGCUCCCUCCGGAUCAGUGGCGAACGGGUGAGUAACACGUGAGCAAUCUGCCCUGGACUCCGGGAUAAGCGUUGGAAACGACGUCUAAUACCGGAUACGAGACGCGAAGGCAUCUUCAGCGUCUGGAAAGAACUUCGGUCCAGGAAGAGCUCGCGGCCUAUCAGGUAGUUGGUGAGGUAACGGCUCACCAAACCUACGACGGGUAGCCGGCCUGAGAGGGUGACCGGCCACACUGGGACUGAGACACGGUCCAGACUCCUACGGGAGGCAGCAGUGGGGAAUUUUGCGCAAUGGGGGAAACCCUGACGCAGCGACGCCGCGUGGAGGAUGAAGGUUUUCGGAUUGUAAACUCCUUUUAUAGGGGAAGAUGAUGACGGUACCCUAUGAAUAAGCCACGGCUAACUCUGUGCCAGCCGCCGCGGUAAAAC
rnacentral:rRNA from 1 species